CGGGAAGAGCUCAAAUUUAAAAUCUGGCGUGCCUCUGGUCGUCCGAAUUGUAGUCUGAAGAAGCGUCUAUCACGUUUUCGUUCGGGUUCAAGUUCCUUGGAAUAGGACAUCAGAGAGGGUGAGAAUCCCGU
rnacentral:rRNA from 1 species